GUGAGGAAUAUUGCGCAAUGGAGGCAACUCUGACGCAGCCAUGCCGCGUGCAGGAAGAAGGCGCUACGCGUUGUAAACUGCUUUUAACCGGGAAGAAACCCCAGGACGUGUCAUGGGUUGACGGUACCGGAGGAAUAAGCACCGGCUAACUUCGUGCCAGCAGCCGCGGUAGUACGAAGGGUGCAAGCGGUAUCCGGAUUCAUUGGGCUUAAAGGGUGCGUAGGCGGAGAGUUAAGUCAGUGGUGAAAUCCUGCAGCUUAACUGUAGACUUGCCAUUGAUACUGGCGCUCUUGAGUGCGCUUGAAGUGGACGGAAUGUGCCGUGUAGCGGUGAAAUGCUUAGAUAUGGCACAGAACACCAAUUGCGAAGGCAGCUCACUAAGGCGAUACUGACGCUGAGGCACGAAAGCGUGGGGAUCGAACAGGAUUAGAUACCCCUGUAGUCC
rnacentral:rRNA from 1 species